rnacentral:rRNA from 1 species
UACAGAGGGUGCAAACGUUGUUCGGAAUUACUGGGCGUAAAGCGCGUGUAGGCGGCUUCGCAAGUCGGGGUGUGAAAUCCCACGGCUCAACCGUGGAAGUGCAUUCGAAACUGCAAGGCUAGAGUCCUGGAGAGGAAGGUGGAAUGCUUGGUGUAGAGGUGAAAUUCGUAGAUAUCAAGCGGAACACCGGUGGCGAAGGCGACCUCUGGACAGUGACUGACGCUGAGACGCGAAAGCGUGGGGAGCAAACAGG